UGAUAACUGUUAGUAUGACAUUUCCUGUGCUCGUUUGAUCAAAUAUUGGAUAUCUUUCUAUAGAUAACGCCACAUCUUAAUCAGAGAGUCGGUUAACCAUUAUUUAAUUUGCUAUUGUUUCAUUUUUACUUCAAUUUACGUAUUUUUUACUCUAAACAUCGCAAUGUUGUUAUUACGAAACAGUCUACAUUUCUCUCUACUCUACCCCCAAUUCGAAUUUCUAGUUUAGCAUCGGAACUAAUCAUUACAGAGAAAAAUACUUUUAAUUGACUCUUUGUUGAGUUGAGAAACAAAGCAAUAGAAAAAUCUCAAGUAAAAGCUUUUCUAUACACAUAAACAAGUUCCCUUCCUAUGUAUUCAGCA
rnacentral:lncRNA from 1 species